UGACGCCUCCCGGCCGCCGUAGGCGGAGGUUGGGGGCCGGUGGCCCCGGGCGCCCACUUGGGUGCCCCCAGCCCCGCGGGGCCGUGGGCCUGAGGACGCUCGGCGGGCACAGGCCUGGUCAUUCGUUCGUCCAUUCAUUCACUCACACCUUGAGCUGACUCAGGAAUAGAGAUGGGUUGUCUGCAGAUCCUAGAACAAGUUCUGGAGAUGGUGAACAGAUGGCCAAGCAGACUUGCCAUAAUCCUCGAUAGCAAGAGGCAGCUUACCUUGUGGAAACUUGGGCCUCUCUUCUGACGACUGUAGGGAUUAAGAGAACAAGGAAUGGCAUGGGGGACAGUCCCCUCUAGGGGACAGGCAAGCCCCUGCCCAUCAUGUGACAACCCACCUGCCCCCACAGAUUUCCAGCACGCCCUCUGGUGAACCACUGGCCCAUUUCCACGCA